rnacentral:rRNA from 1 species
GGCGCAGCUGAUGACCACGCCGCGUGGGGGAUGAAGGUCUUCGGAUCGUAACCCCUGUCGAACGGGACGAAAGACUCUGGUUCUAAUCAGCCGGAGAGUGACGGUACCGUUAAAGGAAGCCACGGCUAACUCUGUGCCAGCAGCCGCGGUAAUACAGAGGUGGCAAGCGUUGUUCGGAAUUACUGGGCGUAAAGGGCGCGUAGGCGGCCUUCUAAGUCAGACGUGAAAUCCCCCGGCUUAACCUGGGAACUGCGUCUGAUACUGGAAGGCUAGAGUAUGGGAGAGGGAUGUAGAAUUCCAGGUGUAGCGGUGAAAUGCGUAGAUAUCUGGAGGAAUACCGGUGGCGAAGGCGGCAUCCUGGACCAUUACUGACGCUGAGGCGCGAAAGCUAGGGGAGCAAACGGUAUUAGAUACCCCGGUAGUCCUAGCCCUAAACGAUGAAUGCUUGGUGUGGCGGGUAUCGAUCCCUGCCGUGCCGAAGCUAACGCAUUAAGCAUUCCGCCUGGGGAGUACGGUCGCAAGGCUGAAACUCACAGGACUUGACGGGGGCCCGCACAAG